GUUCAGGCGACGAGUCCUGAAUAGGACGAAAUGAGCAUCCUGGAU
rnacentral:hammerhead_ribozyme from 1 species